CAGUGAUUAGUUUAAUUAAAAUAUUAAUUUUGGGGAUUAAAGAUGCAAUUAUUUGUUUUACUGA
rnacentral:tRNA from 3 species